UACGGAGGGUGCAAGCGUUAUCCGGAUUUACUGGGUUUAAAGGGUGCGCAGGCGGAUAUGUAAGUCAGUGGUGAAAUCUCUAGGCUUAACCUGGAAAUUGCCGUUGAUACUAUAUAUCUUGAAUGCUGUGGAGGUAAGCGGAAUAUGUCAUGUAGCGGUGAAAUGCUUAGAUAUGACAUGGAACACCUAUUGCGAAGGCAGCUUACUACGCAGAUAUUGACGCUCAUGCACGAAAGCGUGGGGAUCAAACAGG
rnacentral:rRNA from 1 species